AGUGAACGCUGGCGGUAGGCCUAACACAUGCAAGUCGAACGGCAGCACAGUAAGAGCUUGCUCUUACGGGUGGCGAGUGGCGGACGGGUGAGGAAUACAUCGGAAUCUACUUUUUCGUGGGGGAUAACGUAGGGAAACUUACGCUAAUACCGCAUACGACCUACGGGUGAAAGCAGGGGAUCUUCGGACCUUGCGCGAUUGAAUGAGCCGAUGUCGGAUUAGCUAGUUGGCGGGGUAAAGGCCCACCAAGGCGACGAUCCGUAGCUGGUCUGAGAGGAUGAUCAGCCACACUGGAACUGAGACACGGUCCAGACUCCUACGGGAGGCAGCAGUGGGGAAUAUUGGACAAUGGGCGCAAGCCUGAACCAGCCAUACCGCGUGGGUGAAGAAGGCCUUCGGGUUGUAAAGCCCUUUUGUUGGGAAAGAAAAGCAGCAGGUUAAGACCCCGCUGUUCUGACGGUACCCAAAGAAUAAGCACCGGCUAACUUCGU
rnacentral:rRNA from 1 species